AUACUUACCUGGCAAGGGAGGUACCAUGAUCACAAAGGUGGUUUUCCCAGGGUGAGGCUUAUCCAUUGCACUCCAGGUGUGCUGACCCCUGCGGGAAGCUUGGCUGCAUAAUUUGUGGUAGUGGGGAACUGCAUUCAUGCUUUCCCCCC
rnacentral:snRNA from 1 species